rnacentral:rRNA from 1 species
AGCUCCAAUAGUGUAUAUUAAUUCUGUUGUGGUUAAAAAGCUCGUAGUCGGAUUUUAGAAUUUGAAAUCAAAUAGUGCUCAAGUAGUAUCUAUGGAUUUUGAAUUUUCCUUUUUUGUGGGGGGAAGGUUCUAUACCGCUCCCCCUACUUAUUUUAUUAUGACAAACUCUAAGUGUUCAAAACAUACUUCUUUUUGUAUUGAAAGUCACAGCAUGAGAUAAUUUAAUAUGAUGAUUUGCUUUAUUUUAUUGGUUUCUAAAGCUAUUAUAAUGAUAAAUAGGGCCAGUUGGGGUCGCUAGUAUUGAAUUGUCAGAGGUGAAAUUCUAGGAUUUAUUCAAGACUGACUAAUGCGAAAGCAUGCCGACAAGGAUGGUUUCA